rnacentral:rRNA from 1 species
AUUGAACGCUGGCGGCAGGCCUAACACAUGCCAGUCGAGCGGAUGAAGGGAGCUUGCUCCUGGAUUCAGCGGCGGACGGGUGAGUAAUGCCUAGGAAUCUGCCUGGUAGUGGGGGAUAACGUCCGGAAACGGGCGCUAAUACCGCAUACGUCCUGAGGGAGAAAGUGGGGGAUCUUCGGACCUCACUCUAUCAGAUGAGCCUAGGUCGGAUUAGCUAGUUGGUGGGGUAAAGGCCUACCAAGGCGACGAUCCGUAACUGGUCUGAGAGGAUGAUCAGUCACACUGGAACUGAGACACGGUCCAGACUCCUACGGGAGGCAGCAGUGGGGAAUAUUGGACAAUGGGCGAAAGCCUGAUCCAGCCAUGCCGCGUGUGUGAAGAAGGUCUUCGGAUUGUAAAGCACUUUAAGUUGGGAGGAAGGGCAGUAAGUUAAUACCUUGCUGUUUUGACGUUACCAACAGAAUAAGCACCGGCUAACUUCGUG